rnacentral:rRNA from 1 species
AGAGUCACUCCUACGGGAGGCAGCAGUGGGGAAUUUUGGACAAUGGGGGAAACCCUGAUCCAGCCAUGCCGCGUGCGGGAAGAAGGCCUUCGGGUUGUAAACCGCUUUUGUCGGGGAAGAAAUCUUCCGGGUUAAUACCUCGGGAGGAUGACGGUACCCGAAGAAUAAGCACCGGCUAACUACGUGCCAGCAGCCGCGGUAAUACGUAGGGUGCAAGCGUUAAUCGGAAUUACUGGGCGUAAAGCGUGCGCAGGCGGUUAUGCAAGACAGAUGUGAAAUCCCCGGGCUUAACCUGGGAACUGCAUUUGUGACUGCAUAGCUGGAGUACGGCAGAGGGGGAUGGAAUUCCGCGUGUAGCAGUGAAAUGCGUAGAUAUGCGGAGGAACACCGAUGGCGAAGGCAGUCCCCUGGGCCUGUACUGACGCUCAUGCACGAAAGCGUGGGGAGCAAACAGGAUUAGAUACCCUGGUAGUCCACGCCCUAAACGAUGUCAACUGGUUGUUGGGAGGGUUUCUUCUCAGUAACGUAGCUAACGCGUGAAGUUGACCGCCUGGGGAGUACGGCCGCAAGGUUGAAACUUAAAGGAAUUGACG